UACAGAGGGUGAGAGCGUUAAUAGGAGUUACUGGGCGUAAAGCGUGCGUAGACGGAUUUUUAAGUCGGUUGUGAAAUCCCCGAACUUAACUUAGGAAUUGCAUUCGAUACUGGGAAGCUAGAGUAUGGGAGAGGAUGGUAGAAUUCCAGGUGUAGCGGUGAAAUGCGUAGAGAUCUGGAGGAAUACCGAUGGCGAAGGCAGCCAUCUGGCCUAAUACUGACGCUGAGGUACGAAAGCAUGGGGAGCAAACAGG
rnacentral:misc_RNA from 1 species